rnacentral:rRNA from 1 species
UACGGAGGGUGCGAGCGUUGUUCGGAAUUACUGGGCGUAAAGGGCGCGUAGGCGGCCUGCUAAGUCGAACGUGAAAUCCCUGGGCUCAACCCAGGAACUGCGUCCGAUACUGGUUGGCUUGAAUCCGGGAGAGGGACGUGGAAUUCCAGGUGUAGCGGUGAAAUGCGUAGAUAUCUGGAGGAACACCCGGUGGGCCGAAGGCGACGUCCUGGA